rnacentral:rRNA from 1 species
UACGGAGGAUGCGAGCGUUAUCCGGAUUUAUUGGGUUUAAAGGGUGCGUAGGUGGGCUUUUAAGUCAGCGGUAAAAAUUCGGGGCUCAACCCCGUCCGGCCGUUGAAACUGGGGGUCUUGAGUGGGCGAGAAGAAGGCGGAAUGCGUGGUGUAGCGGUGAAAUGCAUAGAUAUCACGCAGAACCCCGAUUGCGAAGGAAGCCUUCCGGCGCCCUACUGACGCUGAGGCACGAAAAUGCGGGGAUCGAACAGG